rnacentral:rRNA from 1 species
UGGGGAAUAUUGCACAAUGGGGGAAACCCUGAUGCAGCGACGCCGCGUGAGUGAAGAAGUAAUUCGUUAUGUAAAAGCUCUANCAGCAGGGAAGAAAAUGACGGUACCUGAGUAAGAAGCCCCGGCUAACUACGUGCC